UGCAUCGGCCGGGAAUCGAACCCGGGCCUUGCGGGUGAGAGCCGCUAAUCCUAACAACUAGACCACAUCGGACAC
rnacentral:tRNA from 1 species